UUCAGCACUGACCUCUGGCUCUGGUAUGAUUU
rnacentral:piRNA from 1 species